UCUUUUUGGCUUUGAGACCCUUCACCUCUCUGCAGUUAAAGAUGCAGUUGCUUCGCGCCUGGUAAACAUGCUCUCCGCCAGUCUCCACGUCCAUCGCUCUAUUUCGCGUUUCAACUUCUGGCGCGGCCGCCACCGCCCUUGCUGCCUGUCUAAUCGCCGCCCUCGCCGUCCGUUCCGCUUCGCACGCGCUCUACGACCUACUCAGCAGCGCCAAGGUUGAUUGCCUCUGCCUAUGGAACCACUACUUUCCCUUUCAACCGUUUGCCCCUUCUAGUCGAUUCCCCUAUUGUGCCUGUUUCAAAGUCCUCUCGGAUGGCCUCAUUGCUAUCUUGGCCAAUUCCCGCGACCCCUCUCUUCCUGUCACCACCCACAACAACUCCUUUUCCUUCCUCCAAACCGAUACUUACCCUUCUGCUGCUUUGUGCCUAUCAACGGCAACUCUCAGUUCACGCUUGUUACUACGCCACAUAGAGACCGAUGUCGUAGCCUCUCAAUGGCUUCUCGUAUGUAAGAACUGAGGAGGAGUCGGCAGCAUGGGUCGGCCGAAAUCACUCGAAUGUCUGGAGGUCGUCAAACUCAAUCAUCCGCAUGCUGCAGUUUUGGGUAAAAUGGUCAAACUCUGAUCAGUUAUUGAAUUUAUCUUUCUAUUUAAAACUCAGUUACUCAAUUGAAAUUAGUCGUAGCCCUCUUCAAAUAAGUCCCAACUCUUUUAGCAGUCAGAUCCAUUACCGGAAGCUCGAUAAGGAGAUCACUAGGUUCCUCCAGGCAAUGAGACAGACUGCAUGCUCAGAAGAAUAACCUCCAUAAUCUGUAUACGACAUCUCUGAUGUGAGGGAACAAGGACUAUCCAAUGGCUCCAGUGGCUUGAACUCUGUGGCUAAAAGAAAGGAUGACAUUAAGUGAGAGUAUGAGAAAACUCUUGGAGAUUAUGGAAAUGGCCAAAGGAUUCGGGAGGAAAUCAUAAGAAAUUCUGAGGAAGCAUUUUCAGGUUGGGUUUGGAGGAAAACCGUGAAAGUGGUAAUGGCUUUUAUUCAGAAAGCGGCUUGAAUUGACCUUGGCGUUGUUUCUUCUGUCCUGGGGAUUCAUGUUGCUUGUUCAAGUUUAGUAUACAAGCUGGUUAUGCCACAUUCAGAAAUUUCAAACUCCAGUCUAGGAUUAGAUCGGGUCGUCUAUAAAUUGAUUCCCUGGUAAGCUAGAGGCAGGAGUGAAAAAGUAGCGAGAAGAUAGUCGAGUGACGGACUUGUUGGAUCAAGAAAAUUAGUUCUCAGCUUUUGAAAAGAAACCUGAAAAAUAUGUAUGAAGGGAUCCAACACGAGUUUGUCUGAUAUAGUUCGUUUGUAGUAUGUA